CACAUGAGUAGCAAUACGAUGGUGGCGACCGGCGCACGGGUGAGUAACACGUAUGCAACCUACCUGUAAGAGGGGAAUAACCCGGAGAAAUUCGGACUAACACCGCAUAAUACCGAUUAACUGCAUGGUUGAUCGGUUAAAUAUUUAUAGCUUACAGAUGGGCAUGCGUAACAUUAGAUAGUUGGUGAGGUAACGGCUCACCAAGUCAACGAUGUUUAGGGGUUCUGAGAGGAAGGUCCCCCACACUGGUACUGAGACACGGACCAGACUCC
rnacentral:rRNA from 1 species